rnacentral:rRNA from 1 species
UUGGAGGCUGCAACUUGCCUCCAUGAAGCCGGAAUCGCUAGUAAUCGCAGAUCAGCACGCUGCGGUGAAUACGUUCUCGAUCUUUGCACUCA